AGUGAACGCUGGCGAUAGGCCUAACACAUGCAAGUCGAACGGCAGCACAGUAAGAGCUUGCUCUUACGGGUGGCGAGUGGCGGACGGGUGAGGAAUACAUCGGAAUCUACUUUUUCGUGGGGGACAACGUAGGGAAACUUACGCUAAUACCGCAUACGAUCUACGGGUGAAAGCAGGAGAUCUUCGGACCUUGCGCGAUUGAAUGAGCUGAUGUCGGAUUAGCUAGUUGGCGGGGUAAAGGCCCACCAAGGCGACGAUCCGUAGCUGGUCUGAGAGGAUGAUCAGCCACACUGGAACUGAGACACGGUCCAGACUCCUACGGGAGGCAGCAGUGGGGAAUAUUGGACAAUGGGCGCAAGCCUGAUCCAGCCAUACCGCGUGGGUGAAGAAGGCCUUCGGGUUGUAAAGCCCUUUUGUUGGGAAAGAAAAGCAGCAUAUUAAUACCCCGCUGUUCUGACGGUACCCAAAGAAUAAGCACCGGCUAACCUCGUG
rnacentral:rRNA from 1 species